rnacentral:rRNA from 1 species
UGGCGGCAAGCUUAACACAUGCAAGUCGAACGGAUUGUUAUCAUAGCUUGCUAUGAUAACAAUUAGUGGCAGACGGGUGAGUAAUGCAUAGGAAUCUACCUAGUAGUAUGGGAUAGCCACUAGAAAUGGUGGGUAAUACUGUAUAAUCCCUGCGGGGGAAAGAUUUAUCGCUAUUAGAUGAGCCUAUGUUAGAUUAGCUAGUUGGUAGGGUAAAGGCCUACCAAGGCAGUGAUCUAUAGCUGGUCUGAGAGGAUGAUCAGCCACACUGGAACUGAGAUACGGUCCAGACUCCUACGGGAGGCAGCAGUGGGGAAUAUUGGACAAUGGGCGCAAGCCUGAUCCAGCUAUGCCGCGUGAGUGAGGAAGGCCUUAGGGUUGUAAAACUCUUUCAGUGGGGAAGAUAAUGACGGUACCCACAGAAGAAGUCCCGGCAAACUCCGUGCCAGCAGC